UCGGGUUGACCUCAUCCUCGAGAACACAUCCAAAGUCCCUGCUCCCAAAGACGUCCUCGCCCACCAGGUCCCCAACGCCAAGAAGCUCAGGCGGAAGGAGCAGCUAUGGGAGAAGCUGGCCAAGCAGGGCGAGCUGCCCCGGGAGGUGCGCAGGGCCCAGGCCCGGCUCCUCAACCCUCCAGCGGCCAGGGCCAAGCCCGGGCCCCAGGACACCGUGGAACGGCCCUUCUACGACCUCUGGGCCUCAGACAGUGAGUGACCCUGCUGUCACCUAUGAACGGGGACAGGACUGCCAUGUGCAGUUGCGUGUGUUGUGCACUGCACGAGAGUACAGUGUGAAAGGGAGUGCUCUGUGGGUGCUUUGGUGACCUCCCCUCAGAGUUGCGCAUCCUGAAGGGGCGGCCGUUUCCCACUCGUGCUUUUCCUUUCCUGAGUUGUGAGGCUCCUGCCUUCAGCUUUGGUCUCCUCCACUUUCUGAACCUGUCCAGACACAGUUUUGUCCUAGUGAUCAAGGCCCUUGGGGUCUAGAAUCAGUCCUUCCCUUGCCUGAGCUUCAGAGUCACCUUUUUGAAAUGUGGAGGGAUGAGGGGGAGCCUUUGGUGCCUCUUCCAUGCUGGGACUGUCCCAGCAGCUCCCCUCGCUGUAUCCACAGACC
rnacentral:sRNA from 1 species